rnacentral:rRNA from 1 species
GAUGAACGCUGGCGGCGUGCCUAACACAUGCAAGUCGAGCGGACGGACGCUGCUUUUGCGUGGCUGUCGUUUGCGGCGGGCGGGUGAGUCACGCGUGUAUACCCUACCUAUAUGACUGAGAUCACUACGAGACUGCGUAUAUUAUCCCGGAUAAGCUUUUGAUCCGCGUGGUUCGUAGGAGAGAGACGGUCUUGCUGUCUCUUAUCGAUGGUUCCGAGCUGCAUUAGCUAGUUGGUAAGUUAACGGCUUACCAAGGCGACGAUGCAUAGCCGACGGGCGAGGGGGAUCGGCCACACUGGAACUGAGACACGGUCCAGACUCCUACGGGAGGCAGCAGUAGGGAAUGUUCCGCAAUGGGCGAAAGCCUGACGGAGCAAGGCCGCGUGUGUGACGAAGGUCUUCGGAUCGUAAAGCUCUGUUAUGAGGGAAGAACAGAUGUGGAAUGAAAUGUGGCGAGCUUGACGGUACCUAAUCAAAAAGCACCGGCUAACUACGUG